rnacentral:lncRNA from 1 species
AGUAAGUAAAGAGGCAAGAAAAAAUGUCUCCCCGUGGUUCAAAAGCCAACUAAAGUUUACCAAGAGCUGUGACCUGUGGUUAAAAUGUCCUCAGAGGCCAGCUCUCAUCUGAUUUCAACCUGAAGCCCCAUUUCCUAUCAAGAGAGCCAUUUGGCUCCUCUCUUAAGCUCAGCAGCCCUGAGGUGUGGUAGCCUCACGCUGACCCAUACAGAAUGCAACAGAACUGUCCCUGCUGCAGAAGUCUCAGGGUUCUGCCCCAACUGCAUAGACUUCUUUCAUGGAACCGGCUCCUCUAUCCCCACAAGGCUUCUCCCCAGCACAGCUUCUACCUAGAAUCAGACGGAGAGCUUUAGACCAGAGAGAAAACGGAGGCGUGGUGACACCAAGUGACAUGCUCCAAGCCGCUGAACAUGUUGGUGGCAGAGCUAGAACUCGACACCAAGUCUCCUGGCUUUAGUCCACUGUGGCUCUCAAUCCUCGCACACGCAGAGCACAGACCGUUUUUGAUGGUGCUGCAGGGAACAAGGCCCCACCAGUGUGUGCUCUUCCUGUGUGUCCAAAUUUCCACCAAAGAGGGCUCCUCCCAGGAGAUUGGCUGCCGAACCUGUUCUUCCACGGCAGAAGCGGCGCAGCUAGCCCAGCACGACUCUGCUUAUUGUUACGCUUCUGCCACAUGUGUGUAAAUUUGUAAGGAACUUGCCGCUCCUGGCUGAAGACCCAGGGAGCUUUUGCGCUGUUAAUCUGUUUUCCUUUUUGCCCUCAGCCUUUGCUCUUCAGGGGAGAGGCCGUCGAUAAGGUCCAAUGGGGUGGGGUGACACCUCUUGGGCUCAGAAUCUCAAGGGUCCCAAGGUCCAGUCAGUGAGAGCCUUCUGUCUACAUGCCACCCUGUCCCCUCUGUGUGGAGCCCUCAGCAGGACCCUGGCCACAGGGCUCUGGAGCAAUAAUAUUACCCCAUGACAACUGUCGUGACUGCUACCUCAAAAAGUAAGACAGUCCUGCCAUCUACGUUCAUGGAGCUCCGAGGAGCAGCUCAGUUCUGUUUGUUGUGACAGGAUUUUAUAGCAAAAUUUGCAUGAAAGACAUGAAGCUCAGCAAUUGGUUUGCGACAGAGGCGUUUUCUUGCCAAAUGAGGAAGUGAGAUGAUCAGAACUGGCUUUAGCAUGAGCCUGGAUUGGGGAACUCAGCUGGUUCUGGGCUCAUACAACUUCACCUGUGAAGGUAUAUGGAAUUCAUGGUCAGCCCACAUCUUCUAGCUGCAGGUUCAGUUCAGGGUGAUCCCUACCUGGAGUUCUAGACUACCAGGCCAGUUUUGGAGGGUCCCGAAGGUAUGAAUAAGUGGUCCUGCAAACCCCAGCCCACCCUCACAUAUCCUAAAAGAAACUAUGGCAGUUGGA